rnacentral:rRNA from 1 species
GACGAACGCUGGCGGCGUGCUUAACACAUGCAAGUCGAACGGAAAGGCCCUGCUUUUGUGGGGUGCUCGAGUGGCGAACGGGUGAGUAACACGUGAGUAACCUGCCCUUGACUUUGGGAUAACUUCAGGAAACUGGGGCUAAUACCGGAUAGGAGCUCCUGCUGCAUGGUGGGGGUUGGAAAGUUUCGGCGGUUGGGGAUGGACUCGCGGCUUAUCAGCUUGUUGGUGGGGUAGUGGCUUACCAAGGCUUUGACGGGUAGCCGGCCUGAGAGGGUGACCGGCCACAUUGGGAAUGAGAUACGGCCCAGACUCCUACGGGAGGCAGCAGGGGGGAAUAUUGCAAAAUGGGCGGAAGCCUGAUGCAGCAACGCCGCGUGCGGGAUGACGGCCUUCGGGUUGUAACCCGCUUUCGCCUGUGACGAAGCGUGAGUGACGGUAAUGGGUAAAGAAGCACCGGCUAACUACGUG